AGCAGCUGUAUAGGAUCCAACAUGUGCAAAAUUGUCCUCCUCACUUUGGCCCUGAUGGUUGUCGCCAUCACAGCCCAGGAGUACGGCCAUCACGAGCAUCAUGAGCAUCAUCACGAACCUGCAGAGUCUUACCAGAACUACAACCUCCACGUAGGCCAUCAGGAGGUCAUCAAGAUCCCCGUCAUCAGUCAUAAUCAUGGACAUCACGAAGAACCCCAUAAUCAUGAGCAUGGCUCAUACUAACUGUGAUUUUUAAUUUGUCUUUUAUUUUGUAAAUACAAUAGUUUUCCCUUUAUCCUUAAA